GGUUCGAUGGCGUAGCUGGUUAUCGCAUCUGUCUAACACACAGAAGGUCCCCGGUUCGAGCCCGGGUCGAAUCA
rnacentral:tRNA from 1 species